UACGUAGGGUGCGAGCGUUGUCCGGAAUUAUUGGGCGUAAAGAGCUCGUAGGCGGUGUGUCACGUCGGCCGUGAAAACCUGGGGCUCAACUCUGGGCGUGCGGUCGAUACGGGCAUCACUUGAGUUCGGCAGGGGAGACUGGAAUUCCUGGUGUAGCGGUGAAAUGCGCAGAUAUCAGGAGGAACACCGGUGGCGAAGGCAGGUCUCUGGGCCACUACUGACGCUGAGAAGCGAAAGCAUGGGGAGCGAACAGG
rnacentral:rRNA from 1 species